GAAACAGUUGCUAAGACUGGAUAGGAAAUAAAAAGGCAUCUUUUUAUUUUUAAAAGACCUUUUUCGGAAGGUAUGCUUAAAGAGGGGCUUGCGUCACAUUAGUUAGUUGGCAGGGUAAAGGCCUACCAAGACUAUGAUGUGUAGCUGGACUGAGAGGUUGAACAGCCACAUUGGGACUGAGACACGGCCCAAACUCCUACGGGAGGCAGCAGUAGGGAAUUUUCGGCAAUGGAGGAAACUCUGACCGAGCAACGCCGCGUGAACGAUGAAGUAUUUCGGUAUGUAAAGUUCUUUUAUUGAAGAAGAAAAAAUAGUGGAAAAACUAUCUUGACGAUAUUCAAUGAAUAAGCCCCGGCAAACUAUGUGCCAGCAGCCGCGGUAAUACAUAGGGGGCGAGCGUUAUCCGGGAAUUAUUGGGCGUAAAGGGGUGCGUAGGCGGUUUAAUAAGUCUAUAGUUUAAUUUCAGUGCUUAACACUGUCCUGCUAUAGAAACUAUUAGACUAGAGUGAGAUAGAGGCAAGUGGAAUUCCAUGUGUAGCGGUAAAAUGCGUAAAUAUAUGGAGGAACACCAGAGGCGUAGGCGGCUUGCUGGGUCUUUACUGACGCUGAGGCACGAAAGCGUGGGGAGCAAACAGGAUUAGAUACCCUGGUAGUCCACGCCGUAAACGAUGAGUACUAAGUGUCGGGAUUACUCGGUACUGAAGUUAACACAUUAAGUACUCCGCCUGAGUAGUACGUACGCAAGUAUGAAACUUAAAGGAAUUGACGGGACUCCGCACAAGCGGUGGAUCAUGUUGUUUAAUUCGAAGAUACACGAAAAACCUUACCAGGUCUUGACAUACUCUGCAAAGCUAUAGCAAUAUAGUGGAGGUUAUCAGGGAUACAGGUGGUGCAUGGUUGUCGUCAGCUCGUGUCGUGAGAUGUUAGGUUAAGUCCUAAAACGAGCGCAACCCUUGUCAUUAGUUGCCAGCAUGUCAUGAUGGGCACUUUAAUGAGACUGCCAAUGAAAAAUUGGAGGAAGGUGAGGAUCACGUCAAAUCAUCAUGCCCCUUAUGAUCUGGGCUACAAACGUGAUACAAUGGCUGUUACAAAGAGUAGCUGAAACGCAAGUUUAUAGCCAAUCUCAUAAAAGCAGUCUCAGUUCGGAUUGAAGUCUGCAACUCGACUUCAUGAAGUUGGAAUCGCUAGUAAUCGCGAAUCAGCAUGUCGCGGUGAACACGUUCUCGGGGUUUGUACACACCGCCCGUCA
rnacentral:rRNA from 1 species